rnacentral:rRNA from 1 species
GAUGAACGCUAGCGAUAGGCCUAACACAUGCAAGUCGAGGGGCAUCACAUGAAGUAGCAAUACGGAUGGUGGCGACCGGCGCACGGGUGAGUAACACGUAUGCAACCUGCCUUCAACAAGGGGAUAACCCGUUGAAAAACGGACUAAUACCCUAUAAUACAGGGGUCCCGCAUGGGGAUAUUUGUUAAAGAUUGAUCGGUUGAAGAUGGGCAUGCGUUCCAUUAGCUGGUUGGUGAGGUAACGGCUCACCAAGGCAACGAUGGAUAGGGGAACUGAGAGGUUUAUCCCCCACACUGGUACUGAGACACGGACCAGACUCCUACGGGAGGCAGCAGUGAGGAAUAUUGGUCAAUGGACGCAAGUCUGAACCAGCCACGUCGCGUGAAGGAAGACGGCCCUACGGGUUGUAAACUUCUUUUGAAGGGAAUAAAGUGUAGUACGCGUACUAUUUUGCAUGUACCUUACGAAUAAGGAUCGGCUAACUCCGUGCCAGCAGC